rnacentral:rRNA from 1 species
AUGGAGGUUCUUGCCAGUUUCACACAGCGGGUCAAGGAUGCUGAAGAGACUAGCGACACCAAUAACCCUAACCAGCAGCAAGGCGAAGCAGCUUCUUCUUCUGCUUCUGCUCCCGCUACAGAUGUAGGUCCCCUGUCUUUCAGGAAGCAUUCUCUGUCCGGUAUGUUGCAGGGGAUUCGCAACACUAGAGCAAUUCUGUUCUCGAGUGGCAGCGGCGACACGGUAAGGCUGAACAAGACAUUGGGAAGUUUAGAAAUGCUGUCACCAGACAUCAGUGAGUUCAUAAGUUUGCUUCACCUUGAGGCCUUGCCAAAGGCAACUCAAACACAUUACGGUGGAUCAUUGUCGACAUGGAAGACGAGGAAGAGGAGAAGCUCGACCAGACAUAGAAAUCCCUCAGUGGAGCCUAGCUUAUUUAGUUUAUCGACAAAGUCGGACAAGACAGAAGAAAUGUCACCUGAAGAAAAAUACCCCCAGAAGUGCGACAACAAGCAUAUCUUCGACAACAAAUACUCCCAGAAGCGCAACAACAAGCAUAUCUUCGAGUUGGCGUGUAAGAAGUUAGCACUUUACCAGAAGGAGCAAGAGUUUGUGCUCCUGCGUCACAGGCUUGAGGCAGCAUUCGGCGAGAUCUCCAAGGCCGUCGAGCUGGCUGACAGCCGCGACUUCGAAGACCUGGAGUGGCUAUCGUAUUGGGCUGGCAUCCUCAUGGAGGCGAAGGAACAAGUCCGGGAAGCCCUUGGCGCCACCGUCGAUGCAAAAGAUAAGCAGGAGCGAUGCGAGCAAGAAGAUGAACUCAGCAGUUUCGUCCAUAGACUAGAGGGGUUAGUUUGGGAUGCAGAAUACUUCAAGAAAUUGGUAGACCUCUGCCCUGCAUUCUAG